rnacentral:rRNA from 1 species
AUUGAACGCUGGCGGCAGGCCUAACACAUGCAAGUCGGACGGUAGCACAGAGGAGCUUGCUCCUUGGGUGACGAGUGGCGGACGGGUGAGUAAUGUCUGGGAAACUGCCUGUUGGAGGGGGAUAACUACUGGAAACGGUAGCUAAUACCGCAUAACGUCGCAAGACCAAAGAGGGGGACCUUCGGGCCUCUUGCCAUCAGAUGUGCCCAGAUGGGAUUAGCUAGUAGGUGGGGUAACGGCUCACCUAGGCGACGAUCCCUAGCUGGUCUGAGAGGAUGACCAGCCACACUGGAACUGAGACACGGUCCAGACUCCUAAGGGAGGCAGCAGUGGGGAAUAUUGCACAAUGGGCGCAAGCCUGAUGCAGCCAUGCCGCGUGUAUGAAGAAGGCCUUCGGGUUGUAAAGUACUUUCAGCGGGGAGGAAGGCGAUAAGGUUAAUAACCUUGUCGAUUGACGUUACUCGCAGAAGAAGCACCGGCUAACUCCGUGCCAGCCGCCGCCGUAA